rnacentral:lncRNA from 1 species
CCCCCAGUAGAUAAACAUUCAGAGGAGUAACAAAAGAAGAAACAGCAGAAAUGAAAAGUUCACUCUAAAUUGGGGGAAAAGCAAAUUUAAAUAUAUCACCUUAUUACUUUCACCUUAUCAAAUAUAAUUUUUAAAUGAUUUGAUAUCUAAUUCCAGCAAAAGUGGCAUUAAAAUGGUUCUCUUCAUACAUUGCUGGUGAAAUUACAACUUAGAACACCCUUUGGGGAAGCUAUUUGGCAAUAAAACAAGAAAUUUCCUUUUUAUUUUUAAUUUUAUUAGUAUAUUUUUUGCAGUUCAUGAGGUUUAUAAUCAUCUUGGGGAGCGUUACAUGUACAUACUACAACAAGAAUUUUACAAAACAUUUCCACAUUCCAGUAAUCUGACUCCUGAGAAUCUGUUCCUAAAUAGUGGAAAAUACAAUGUGAGGUUGGGGAGAAGCAGGUUGAAGAGACCUAAGCAUUUUCAGCAUUUUGAAACAAUUAUAUCAAUUUAAAUACCCAAAUAUUGGACCCAAUAGAACUAUUCAACAGUAAUUCAUCUUAAAAAUGAUAGAUAGAUAAUAGUAAGCAGGGAGACAGCUCUUUCUCAGAGGCGAUAUAGGGAUCAAGAGAUGAGGGGGAGGGCCAAGGAUUUAGCUCAGUGGUUCCGGUGCCUGCCUUGUAAGCGCAAGGUCCCGAAAGUUCGAUCGCGUACCAAAAAAAAAAGAGAUUAAGGUAGCAGGAGGGAGGACAGGGACAGACAUGAAGAAAGGAAUGAUGUAUGCAAGGACUGUAAACAGUAUGUGCUGCAAACAGGCACUAAUAAAAAGGGAAAAAAAUAAAGUUCUCAAAUUAUAAGCAAACAUCCUUUUUUAAAAAAUGAUGGUUAUAAGUCCAUUUUUGGUGGUGGAUGCCUAUAAAUCCCAAGAGAUUGAGGCAGGAGUUCUAGGAGUUCUUCCCAAGCUUCUAGAGCAUCCUGGGCAAUUUAGCACAACCCUGAAUCAAAACGAGAAAUAAAGAGUCUGGGGCUGUAGCUCAGUGUUAGAGCAUUUGUCUCGCCCUGCACAAAGCCCUGGGUCCCAUUCCCAAUACCCCCACACACACACACACACACACACACACACACACACACACACAAAGAUGGUUAUGAAGACUACAGCAAUAUGAAGUGAUUAAUAUUAAUGGAAAAAGUAAUAUCCAAUUUUAUGUGUAGGCAUAUUUAAAAACCAGAAUACCAAAAUUAUGAAUAUGACUGAAUAAAAUUAUGGGCCUUGUUUUCCCUAUCCACAGUGCCAGGAUGAGUCCCUGAGUCCCCACACCACCUCUGAGCUGUAACAGCUUCCCCAUACUCUCUUGUCCUUAUCCUGGGGAAGAGGAUCUUACCUCAGUUUCCCUACCUCAGCCUGGAGCCCUGCUCUUAUCCUCAGUCCACUUGGAUUUCCCCUUCCCCAAGUGGCUGGUUUUAGCUCCCCUCCACUUCUGGGUUAGGCUGGGCUUCUGCAAAAUGGGCUGGGUCACCCAAGAACCUUCCCACUGCGGCCCCUUCUGUCACCGAAUCUGGAUGGCAUUCUUGACCCAUUCCUCUCUCCCUGCCUCCUGUUCAUUCUCCUGUUUUCUGCUUCCCAUCUUCCCUGUCGUUGCUGUUGCCCAUCCCCUAGACAGACGCAGUGGCUUCUCAAUGAGCUCAUCGCCUCCCCCUUUCUCUGGUGUCCAGUGAGCUCUGAAAGAGGCAAAUCAGACCUUGCCCUCCCCACAGGCCCACUAGCUUCCAGGUGGUCAGGCCAAAGUCCCCAAAGCCUUAUCAGCCCUGAAGAUGCCAUGCCCGACGGCCAGCCUCCUCCUCAAACACAAUCCCCCACCCUCCAAGCUCCAGCUGCAAUGGCUGUUCCCUUCCUGAAGCCUAAGACCCCAAGCCCUUUACUUAACGACCCCAACUAAUACCCUGGGCCUCCUUGUUUGGAAUGGUGGCCUGCUCCCUGAGUUUGCCAUACCCUUGACCUCAGUAUUUGGGCAGCAGGAUGGCCCCUCUGGGGUCUGCCUCUACCCCAAAUCAAAGUCUCCAGGUCCCUCCUGUUCACCUGUCCUCCCUGACCAUCCCAAGGCCGAGUUCCCAGCAUGAGCUGCCUAUAAGUCACCCCCUUUCAGAUACAGGACACCAGUGAAGUGGCUCCCACAUCCUUUGGCUCCUCUGAGACCGUAGGCAAAGGAAGCAGAGGACAAUAGAAGGCGCAUAAGUUGUGGCUUUGACAGCUCUGGAUCUGAGUCCUGGUUCUGCCAUCGGGUAGGUUGCUUAACCUCUCUGAGCCCCUUUUUCUGUGGGAUCUAACUUGGGACCUUGCGCUUUUGCAAGGCAGGUGGCAGAACCACUGAGGUAAAUCCCUGGCCCUCUCCUCUGUUAAUGUGCACAUGGAAACAGAAUAGUCCAGUAGUAAAGAAUGUGGACUUUGAAAUCCGUGGUGGGCUUAAAUUCCUCUCUAGUAUGGACUAUUUGUGGAGCCUGAUCUUCACAUUCACCUGGAAAAACAGGUAAUAAUCGCAGGUACGUGAUAGGACUGUUGUGACACUUAAGAAAGAUAGUGAAUGAAGUACUUAGCACAAGGACUGCACCAGGAAGAACUCAGUUGUCAGAGGCUGUGCUAAUCCUAGAAAGCAGCUGGCACUGUGUUAGACACAAGAGGGCGACUCAGCAAUUACUAGUUCACUAUCACCUCCCCUUUUCCCCAGGUCAGGCAGGAUCCACUGUCGGGAGCAAUGCUGCAUAAUUUUAGGGAAAAAUCAUUUGGUUAGCCUAGUUCUGCCUACAGCCCAGCUAUGGAAUUCCCAGACAUAGUUCCCUUUUUAGCCUCUGGUCACAACUGAGACCUCAAUGAUCUGGUGAUGCUGUGAUUCUCUAGACAAGAUUACUACACCAGCUGAAAACAUCCUGGGAGGAAAAAACAUCUACUCAGUUCCUCGUUGUUCUUGGAUUGUUACAUCUUAUUUAGGCAGGAUGUACUGAACUCUCCGCAAGUCAUUUGUUACAUUUGCACGCCGCCCCCGCCCCCCCGCCCCCCCCCCCGACUGAAUAAAAGGUGCAGUAGGAGG